rnacentral:ncRNA from 1 species
UGAAAGUUUUAUUUUUGCUUUUUGUUAAGUAUUUUUAUUUUUUAAAUAUAAUUUUAUGGAUUUUUAAUUGUAUUAUUUAAAUUUAUUUAAAUUUUAGUGGAUGUAAAAGAAAUAAAAUAAAAAAUGGCUAAAAUUGUGCCAGCAGCUGCGGUUACACAAUUAUUUUAAUUUAAUAUGAUUUAAAUAUUAAGAUUUUGAAUGAAAGUUGGUAUUUUUAUUUAUUUUAAGUGAAAUUUAAUAAAUGUAUUAAAAUUUAAUUAAGUAUAAUAUUAAACAAAAUAAAAAGUCAAACCAGGAUUAGAUACCCUGUUAUGAUUUAUUGAAAAUAAAAUUUAGAGUAGUAAUAGUUAAGGUCAGGAAACUCAAAAAAUUUGGCGGUGUUUAUUCUAAAUAGAGGAAUAUGUCUUUAAUCGAUAGUUCACGUUUAUUCAACUUGAUUUAAUUUAUUUUGUGUACUUCUGUCUAAAAAAAUUUUUUAGAAAAUAAUUUUAAAAUUUUUAAUUAAAAUAAGUCAAGUCAAAGUGCAGAUUAUAAUCAAGAAAAGAUGUAUUACAAUAAAGUUAUUUAUGGAAAUUAAAUGAAAAAUAGUGAAAAAUGGAUUUAUUAGUAAAUUAAUUUAAAUAAAAAUUAAUUGAUAAAGUUAAUAAAUAUGUACAUAUUGCCCGUCAUUCUCUUUAAGAGACAAGUCGUAACAAAGUAGAUUUACUGGAAAGUGAAUCUGGAUUCAG